rnacentral:rRNA from 1 species
AUUGAACGCUGGCGGAAUGCUUUACACAUGCAAGUCGAGCGGCAGCGCGGCCUUCGGGCUGGCGGCGAGCGGCGAACGGGUGAGUAAUGCAUCGGAACAUGCCCAGUCGUGGGGGAUAACACUUCGAAAGAAGUGCUAAUACCGCAUACGUCCUGAGGGGGAAAGCGGGGGAUCGCAAGACCUCGCGCGAUUGGAGUGGCCGAUGUCAGAUUAGCUAGUUGGUGGGGUAAAGGCCUACCAAGGCGACGAUCUGUAGCUGGUCUGAGAGGAUGAUCAGCCACACUGGGACUGAGACACGGCCCAGACUCCUACGGGAGGCAGCAGUGGGGAAUUUUGGACAAUGGGGGCAACCCUGAUCCAGCCAUUCCGCGUGAGUGAAGAAGGCCUGCGGGUUGUAAAGCUCUUUCGGCAGGAACGAAACGGUGGGCUCUAACAUAGUCCGCUAAUGACGGUACCUGAAGAAGAAGCACCGGCUAACUACGU